CUCAGGGGGGACACCAAGGACCUCCCACUGUUCCUUGGUGGGAACUGGGAACUCUGCCCCAAACCUGUUUGCCAAUCCCAGUCCCUUCCUCUGCAGCUGUGGUGCAAUUAGGUUUUCAUUUGAAUUAUGUAAAAAGGACGGUGUCAGCAAUGAUUUUGUGGAAGGGCAACUCAGUAUUUUAUGUCUUUAAUAUCCAAGGACAGCAUGUGUGGAAACUUCUGUUGCUGGCACCCAGGAUAAGAAGCAGCCUUCCAACAGAGACAGGGUGUCUGCAGUGCUCCCCAGAAAGGUGCAGAGAGCACACCACCAGGUGUUUGCAUUAGUGAUUUCGAUGGGGACAUGAUUCCUUAAUUAGCAAGACCUGAAAAGAUCCUGGUACAGAACCAUAGUUAAAAUCAAUCAGCAGACACAGCCACGUGGAUUUCUGCACAUGUAAAGGCAGGAAAAAAAAAUAGCACAAGAUCUGCUCGGUGCUGCAGAGGGGAGGAUUUUACUGUUGCUGAGCAGAGCCUGUGUGCAGCAUCUCUGCAUCCCGGGAAAGGUGGGAUGACCCAGUGGCUGGAGCAGAAAGAACAUCUAGGAUUAUGCUGCUGCAAAUGAGAGGUUUCAGUCAUGGUGUAUCGGAUGAGCUGCAGCUUGUGGCUGUUCCAGGUCAGCAGUGCUAAAACGUGACGUGGGCUCGCAGAGGACACGUGCAGCCCGUGGGGUGAACUGCAACCUGAAUAGCUCUCCCAGCAGCUGGGGCUCCGUGUCCUUCUAGUAAUAAAUUCCUCCUGGACAGUGUUUCAGGGGAUUGCUAGGAUUUGAGGAGAGAGGAGGCUGGCUGGAAGAGAGACAGGCUCCAGGUUUAUCCUUGAAAGCCCCUGUGCUGCAGAGCCUGGGGCUGCCUUUGGCAGCCUGCCUGGAGGCUGGAGCUGCCUCGUGCUGUAUGAACCCACCGAUCCUGUCCUCAGCCAGCUAAGUUGGCUAUAAAUCUCCCUAUUAGCAAUGCAUAAAGCGGGCCAAAAUUCGAACGGCUUCUUAAGCAGGAGGUGAAGCAAAAGCUCAAAAUAACUUAAAAUAAGUCCUUUCUGUGCUCCGGGCUAGAAAGUGGUUGUUUUGGAGCUUUCCCAUGGUGUGCCUGGUCUGCCUGCUGGGAGAGAGGGGUGCUGAACAAGCCAGCAAAAUCGGGUAAAAAAUAACUCCAUCCCAACGUCAGCAGCAGAGCUGAGAGGAACCAGAGGUCCCGAGCUGUUUCGAAGUUGUGUUAAAUAAUAAAGCAGAGAAAUGAAUAAAUUAGCUGAGCAUCUAUUUAGGUCAGCCCUCUCCGUUUCUCCAGCCGCCUCCGUGUGCCUGCUCCCCGCAGUGAUCAGCUGCUCGGUGCGCGCUGUGCCUGCGGGUCCGCUCCCUCCUCGGGAACUGCGCCACGACGGUGUCACGUCGCCUGCACACGUUCACCCCGGCCUUCGGAAGCGGCAGGCGAGCUUCCUUUUCCGUUACUGGGGCAAAAAGCGUUCUGGAAAAUCCCAUUAAAGCGCUGAGCGUGGGCUGCGCGCACACGGCUGCUCCCUUCCCGGCGCUAUCCCCCGCACGGAGCUGCAGGGUCCUGCUCCACGGCAUGGAGCUGCAUCUCCCUGCUCUGCCUGCUGCACUGCUGCCAGCCUGGUCACCACCCGGCUAUUUCCCAGCUUCCAACCACAGCAGCGCCUGCACCUUUGCAGGCCAUCGUUCCUCUCCUUGCAGGUGCCCCAGGCUCGGUUAUGUGAAUGCAGUUGUCAUCUGUUGAUCUGAGGACAUCGAGCCAGAUGGACUAGGCUGAUUGACACAGAUGGAGAAUCAGCUUUUAAACCCCUAAGCUCCCCUCAAAUCAUUCAAAUGCUUCCAGAAAAAUGGAACGACCGUGCAGUCCUGUAUAUAUGUCUUUCUUUACGUGUUUCCCAAGCAUGAAAAGCCCUCUUUGAUGUCCAGAACAUCUCGGGGGUUUCAGCUAUAAGUAAGCUGGAUAAACACUGCCCAAGAUGGAAUUUAUCUGCAUCAAGGGCUGCUCCAUCUCAGCCCAGCUCCUGCUGGUCCUCCCAAACCCCACAGGUAGCUGGAGAAGGUCUCUGGCGAUGAAACCAGCCAGAGGCAGCAUCCAGGGUGUAGGCAAUGGAAAAUGAGAUGUUUCUAAGUUUGGCCAGGCUUAGCUGGCUCCUCGCAGGUCCCAGCCUGUGAGUCACUGCUACGUGGGCCACCAGCACGGCCUCCCCUCUGGAGGAAGGAGUGGAGGUGGAAAAAUAACAAGAGGAAACCAGCUCUUAGUAGUGCCAGCUCCAGGGAGAGUGGGAGGAGGUGGCAGUCCUGGAGAGAAAGGUCAGGGCUAUAUUGCAGGCUGCUGUCUGAUUUUUCCUCCUGUCUUCAUGGCAGGAAGCUGCUUACAGGAACACGUUUGUGCAAUACGUGUGGAGGGUCUGGGCUGAUCCGAGGGUCUGGGCUGAUCUGGGAGAAUGAAAGCCUCCAACAGCAGCCAGGGGCGAUGCAGGAAUUGUUUCUGGUCCCUGCUCACUCAUCUUCUCUGAUUUCUACUGAGGUCAACCUAAGUACCCUGUUAAAAGCAAAUUUUGACCCCUUGAAAACAUUGUAAAAGAAGAUGCAGUUUUCAGAUGUACUGGGAACAGACACAUCCAAAAAUAAAAUAAAAGAUUGCAAGUCUCCAGCCUCUUCUGCUGCUUCAGCUCUCCUAACUGGUGCUAACUGGAAUGCGCCAGUAGAGGACAUAAACCUCAGCUACUGUUCCCACAUCCCUGCCAUCAGUCCAGGGGCACUUGCAAGGCUGCGCCAUGACAGCUCCCCUUCCCAUCGGGAUAUCUACAGCUGUGGAUCAGCACUUCUGCUCUCCACUGCCUUGCAAGAACUCCUCUCCUGAACCCUCCCAUCUGACAAUUACCACCAGCUGCCAGUGAUUGUUCUCACCUCCUAUCCCGAGUG